GGUAACAGAGGCGCAGUGGCGGUGGGUAUGCGUCGGGUGCGGUGGUUUGCCUGUAUGGUUGGGCGGAAAGAGCGCGGAGGCGGUUUGGCGCGUCUGGCGUGAAAGUCCGGGGCUUAACCCCGGUUCUGCGGGGGGUACGGGCGGACUAGAGUGCAGUAGGGGAGACUGGAAUUCCUGGUGUAGCGGUGGAAUGCGCAGAUAUCAGGAGGAACACCGAUGGCGAAGGCAGGUCUCUGGGCUGUAACUGACGCUGAGGAGCGAAAGCAUGGGGAGCGAACAGGAUUAGAUACCCGUGUAGUC
rnacentral:rRNA from 1 species